rnacentral:rRNA from 1 species
UACGGAGGGGGCUAGCGUUGUUCGGAAUUACUGGGCGUAAAGCGCGCGUAGGCGGAUCUGCAAGUCGGGGGUGAAAUCCCGAGGCUCAACCUCGGAACUGCCUUCGAUACUGCGGGUCUCGAGUCCGGGAGAGGUGAGUGGAAUUCCUAGUGUAGAGGUGAAAUUCGUAGAUAUUAGGAAGAACACCAAUGGCGAAGGCAGCCUUCUGGGCCAACACUGACGCUCAUGCACGAAAGCGUGGGGAGCAAACAGG